rnacentral:rRNA from 1 species
CCUACGGGAGGCAGCAGUGGGGAAUAUUGCACAAUGGAGGAAACCCUGAUGCAGCGACGCCGCGUGAGUGAAGAAGGAUUUCGGUAUGGAAAGCUCUAUCAGCAGGGAAGAAGAAAGACGGUACCUGACUAAGCAGCACCGGCGACCCACGUGCGAGCAGCCGAGGUAAUACGGAGGGGGCAAGCUUUAUCCGGAGUUACUGGGGGUAAAGGGAGCGUAGACGGCUGUGCAAGUCUGAGGUGACUGCCCAGGGCUCAACCCGGGGACUGCUUUGGAAACUGUGGAGCUAGAGUGCUGGAGAGGUAAGUGGAAUUCCUAGUGUAGCGGUGAAAUGCGUAGAUAUCAGGCGGAACACCAGUGGCGCAGGCGGCUUACUGGACAGCAACUGACGUUGAGGCUCGAACGCGUGGGGAGCAAACAGGAUUAGAUACCCCAGUAGUC